UCCUACGGGGAGCAGCAGUAGGGAAUCUUUUGGCAAUGGGGGGAAGUCUGAUCCAGCAACGCCGCGUGAGUGAAGAAGGCUUUUGGGUCGUAAAACUCUGUGGUAGGGAAGGACAAGUGCUAGUUAAUAAGCUGGCACAGUGACGUACCUACAGAAAGCC
rnacentral:rRNA from 1 species